UCCUUAUCAAGAACGGCAGAGGGAACAGGCCCGAAGACGCCGUAGCAACCGAUCCCGAUUUACCGGGAUGUCAGGUGCUAAUUCCUGCCCCCGAUUGUUCGGGGGAAAGAUGAGAU
rnacentral:ncRNA from 2 species